CCUACGGGAGGCAGCAGUGAGGAAUAUUGGUCAAUGGUCGGGAGACUGAACCAGCCAAGCCGCGUGAGGGAUGAAGGUACAGAGUAUCGUAAACCUCUUUUGUCAGGGAACAAAGGCGGGGACGUGUCCCCGGAUGAGUGUACCUGAAGAAAAAGCAUCGGCUAACUCCGUGCCAGCAGCCGCGGUAAUACGGAGGAUGCGAGCGUUAUCCGGUUUUAUUGGGUUAAGGGGGUGCUCAGGCGGUCUGUUAAGUCAGCGGUAAAAGCCCGGGGCUCAACCCCGGCCCGCCGUUGAAACUGGCAGUCUCGAGUUGGAGAGAAGUAUGGGGAAUGCGCGGUGUAGCGGUGAAAUGCAUAGAUAUCGCGCAGAACUUCGAUUGCGAAGGCAGCAUGCCGGCUCCACACUGACGCUGAGGCACGAAAGCGUGGGUAUCGAACAGGAUUAGAUACCCUUGUAGUC
rnacentral:rRNA from 1 species